rnacentral:rRNA from 1 species
CAACCUGCCUUUCAGAGGGGAUAACGAUUGGAAACGAUCGCUAAUACCGCAUAACAUUGCAGAGCCGCAUGGUUUUGCAAUCAAAGGAGCAAUCCGCUGAGAGAUGGGCUCGCGUCCAAUUAGGUAGAUGGCGGGGUAGAGGCCACCAUGCCGACGAUUGGUAGCCGGACUGAGAGGUUGAACGGCCACAUUGGGACUGAGACACGGCCCAGACUCCUACGGGAGGCAGCAG